rnacentral:ncRNA from 1 species
ACAAAAGUGCUGAUGGAAAAAAGUACGUAUUUCUGAUUUUUCACAGAGAGCCGGGAAUGCUGGGAACCGGUAAAUAGGAAAUAGGGAAGUUCUUUCCGGAACUGCAUGACUGAAAUCGAAGUAGGUCUUGCCGGGGUGGCUUGCGUUAAGGAGCCGAGAGUUGAUCUGAUGAAGAUGAAUGAGGGUGGUACCACGGAGAAUCCGUCCCUUGG